AACACAUUAGUCAAAAGUUAACUCAAAAUUGUAUGAAGUUGGAACGUUUGCCUACGUUUGCCGCUAGGGGCGCUGUUCCAACUUCAUACAAAUUUGAGUUAACUUUUACGUUAUCGA
rnacentral:pre_miRNA from 9 species